GUAGGUACCUACCUCCGGGUUCGGGAUAGCUGCGGGAAACUGCAGGUAAUACCGAAUAACGUCUCCGGACCAAAGGUGUGAUUCCACCUGGAGAGGGGCCUGCAUCCUAUUAGCUUGUUGGUGGGGUAACGGCCUACCAAGGCGACGAUGGGUAGCGGGUGUGAGAGCAUGACCCGCGUCAUUGGGACUGAGACACUGCCCAGACACCUACGGGUGGCUGCAGUCGAGAAUCUUCGGCAAUGGGCGAAAGCCUGACCGAGCGACGCCGCGUGCGGGAUGAAGGCCUUCGGGUUGUAAACCGCUGUCGUAGAGGAGGAAGUGCAGGGGGGUUCUCCCCUCUGUUUGACCUAUUCUAGGAGGAAGUACGGGCUAAGUUCGUGCCAGCAGCCGCGGUAAGACGAACCGUACAAACGUUACUCGGAAUUACUGGGCUUAAAGGGUGCGUAGGCUGCGCGGAAAGUUGGGUGUGAAAUCCCUCGGCUCAACCGGGGAAUUGCAUCCAAAACUACCGUGCUAGAGGGAGAUAGAGGUGAGCGGAACUCAAGGUGGAGCGGUGAAAUGCGUUGAUAUCUUGAGGAACACCGGUGGCGAAGGCGGCUCACUGGAUCUCUUCUGACGCUGAGGCACGAAAGCCAAGGUAGCAAACGGGAUUAGAUACCCCGGUAGUCUUGGCCGUAAAC
rnacentral:rRNA from 1 species